rnacentral:rRNA from 1 species
AUACGUAGGGGGCGAGCGUUGUCCGGAAUGAUUGGGCGUAAAGGGCGCGUAGGCGGCCCGGUAAGUCUGGAGUGAAAGUCCUGUUUUUAAGAUGGGAAUUGCUUUGGAUACUGUCGGGCUUGAGUGCAGGAGAGGUAAGUGGAAUUCCCAGUGUAGCGGUGAAAUGCGUAGAGAUUGGGAGGAACACCAGUGGCGAAGGCGACUUACUUGACUGUAACUGACGCUGAGGCGCGAAAGUGUGGGGAGCAAACAGGAUUAGAUACCCUGGUAGUCCACGCCCUAAACGAUGAAUACUAGGUGUGGGGGGACUGACCCCCUCCGUGCCGUAGUAAACACAAUAAGUAUUCCACCUGGGGAGUACGACCGCAAGGUUGAAACUCAAAGGAAUUGACGGGG